GAUGAACGCUGGCGGCGUGCCUAAUACAUGCAAGUCGAGCGAACGGACGAGAAGCUUGCUUCUCUGAUGUUAGCGGCGGACGGGUGAGUAACACGUGGAUAACCUACCUAUAAGACUGGGGUAACUUCGGGAAACCGGAGCUAAUACCGGAUAAUAUUUUGAACCGCAUGGUUCAAGAGUGAAAGACGUUCUUGCUGUCACUUAUAGAUUGAUCCGCGCUGCAUUAGCUAGUUGGUAAGGUAACGGCUUACCAAGGCAACGAUGCAUAGCCGACCUGAGAGGGUGAUCGGCCACACUGGAACUGAGACACGGUCCAGACUCCUACGGGAGGCAGCAGUAGGGAAUCUUCCGCAAUGGGCGAAAGCCUGACGGAGCAACGCCGCGUGAGUGAUGAAGGUCUUCGGAUCGUAAAACUCUGUUAUUAGGGAAGAACAUAAGUGUAAGUAACUGUGCACAUCUUGACGGUACCUAAUCAGAAAGCCACGGCUAACUACGUG
rnacentral:rRNA from 1 species